CAGCCGCCGCGGGAAAACGGAGGGUGCAAGCGUUAAUCGGAAUUACUGGGCGUAAAGCGCACGCAGGCGGUCUGUCAAGUCAGAUGUGAAAUCCCCGGGCUUAACCUGGGAACUGCAUUUGAAACUGGCAGGCUAGAGUCUUGUAGAGGGGGGUAGAAUUCCAGGUGUAGCGGUGAAAUGCGUAGAGACCUGGAGGAAUACCGGUGGCGAAGGCGGCCCCCUGGACAAAGACUGACGCUCAGGUGCGAAAGCGUGGGGAGCAAACAGGAUUAGAUACCCCUGUAGUCCCUGUCUCUUAUAC
rnacentral:rRNA from 1 species